rnacentral:rRNA from 1 species
GAUGAACGCUGGCGGCGUGCCUAAUACAUGCAAGUCGAGCGAACAGAUAAGGAGCUUGCUCCUUUGACGUUAGCGGCGGACGGGUGAGUAACACGUGGGUAACCUACCUAUAAGACUGGGAUAACUUCGGGAAACCGGAGCUAAUACCGGAUAACAUUUGGAACCGCAUGGUUCUAAAGUGAAAGAUGGUUUUGCUAUCACUUAUAGAUGGACCCGCGCCGUAUUAGCUAGUUGGUAAGGUAACGGCUUACCAAGGCAACGAUACGUAGCCGACCUGAGAGGGUGAUCGGCCACACUGGAACUGAGACACGGUCCAGACUCCUACGGGAGGCAGCAGUAGGGAAUCUUCCGCAAUGGGCGAAAGCCUGACGGAGCAACGCCGCGUGAGUGAUGAAGGGUUUCGGCUCGUAAAACUCUGUUAUUAGGGAAGAACAAACGUGUAAGUAACUGUGCACGUCUUGACGGUACCCAAUCAGAAAGCCACGGCUAACUACGUG